AUGGCCUCAUCCGCCUCCUUGCUGCACCCUUCCACGCUCGCCCCAGCCUUCUCGCCGCCUGCACCCCGGCGCCCGUCACAGCUCGACCUCCGCUCCAGCCGCCGUCACCACGGCGUCUCGGUCUCCCUCGCCGCCUCGUCAUCCGCCGCGUCGCCGGAGGUGGAGAAGGAGCCCUCCUCGCCGUCCACCCCGCCGUUGGACGACUCCUCGGCCCUAUCGGCCGUGGCGGAGAGCGUGAAGGUGCUCAAGGAGGCGGCCAAGACGAGGAAGGUGCCGGCCGACGAGGUGCUGGCGGCGCUGGCCAAGAUCAAGAAGGCCAAGCUCGACACCUCCGCCUUCUUCGAGACGCUCGGCGGGACCGAGUCCCCCGGCAGGACAUGGAAGCUCAUCUUCACCGCCCAGGGUAGUAAGCUCGAGAAAGGCAGCUACUUCCCGGUGACCGCCGUCCAGCGCUUCGACGCCGCGGGGCAGAGGAUCGAGAACGGGGUGUACCUGGGGCGGGCGGGGAGCCUGAGCUUCGAGGGGCGGCUGUCGUGGAAGAAGAAGAUCCUGGCCUUCGUCUUCGAACGUGUGCGCCUCAAGCUCGGGCCUCUGCCCUCCCUGGAGAUCCCACUCGGCGGCGGCGACGUGGGCAGGGAGCCGAGCACCAAGGACCCCUUCUUCCUGUGGUUCUACGUGGACGAGGAGAUCGCCGUGGCGCAGGGCAAGGGCGGCGGCACCGCCUUCUGGUGCCGCUGCAAGCGCGUCGACGGGCAAGGGCGGCGCCCCGCCUUCUGGUACUUCGGUUUCAACAUAAUUUAG
rnacentral:rRNA from 1 species